rnacentral:rRNA from 1 species
GGGUCAGUAGGUUGGUCGUGCCACCGGACGUACUGGUCUCACUGAUUCCUCCUUCCUGAAGAACCGUAAUGCCAUUAAUUUGGUGUUGCGGGGAAACAGGACUGUUACUUUGAAAAAAUUAGAGUGUUUAAAGCAAGCUAACGCUUGAAUACAUUAGCAUGGAAUAAUGAAAUAGGACGAUCGAUCCUAUUUUGUUGGUUUCUAGGAUUGACGUA